UACGAAGGGGGCUAGCGUUGCUCGGAAUCACUGGGCGUAAAGCGCACGUAGGCGGAUUGCUAAGUCAGGGGUGAAAUCCUGGAGCUCAACUCCAGAACUGCCUUUGAUACUGGCGAUCUCGAGUCCGGGAGAGGUGAGUGGAACUGCGAGUGUAGAGGUGAAAUUCGUAGAUAUUCGCAAGAACACCAGUGGCGAAGGCGGCUCACUGGCCCGGUACUGACGCUGAGGUGCGAAAGCUAGGGGAGCGAACGGG
rnacentral:rRNA from 1 species